UCUCAUUAAGUUACGAUAAAUUUGACGUGACGUCACUAUUGCAGCAAAUUUUUCUUUUGAUUCAUAUCGUAUCACCAUAUUCCUAGUUACAUGCAGUUCUCAUGCAAUUGCUAGCUCCCUAAAAUUCUGAGCUUAGUUGAUUACAAAUACAUUUUUCAGAGCAAAUACUUAAAAUUGAAAUCCAAUUAAUUACCUAAAAUAGCCCUCAAAAACAACAAAAGCAAUAGAUGGGCAGAGGGAUCUUAUUAACAUUUAUAGUCCACAAGUCCUUUAGAGAAGAAGCAUUACACAUGUUCUCAGUGACCCAACACAACCAAUUCCUGAUCAGCCCCCUCCGUGACGUCGCCGGUGUCAUCGUCGUUGUCGUCGUCGUCGUCGUCGUCGCUGGAUUGUGCGACGUUCAGUGUCGACUCCUCUGCUUCGUUCUCGGAUGAGUCUGGGUCGCCGGGCCGGCAGGUCUCGUUGGCGGGAUUGCAGUGGUGGCCGGUGGUCCUGGUGCUCCCCCCGAUAGCGCUCUCUUGGGGCGUCUCUUCUGCCUCCUGUCCAGCGACUUCAUCCGAUCUCAUGAUCAGCAGGAAGCACGCGAGCAUCGCAAUGACAACGCAUGCGCGAAUGGAAGCCAUCGAAUGAAUGGAUGUUGAUGGAGAUGAGGAAGGGCAAAGGGGAAGGGAUGCAGGGAAGGUACUUAAAAAGGGUUGGGGAGGAGGCAAACUUUUGGUUAGGCCGAGGAGAGGUUUUUCUGGUGGGUACGUAGAAGCAGUUGGAGAAUGAGUGGCUGGGGUUUGGAGACAGCUCUUUCC
rnacentral:lncRNA from 1 species